rnacentral:rRNA from 1 species
AUUGAACGCUGGCGGCAGGCCUAACACAUGCAAGUCGAACGGUAACAGGAAACAGCUUGCUGUUUCGCUGACGAGUGGCGGACGGGUGAGUAAUGUCUGGGAAACUGCCUGAUGGAGGGGGAUAACUACUGGAAACGGUAGCUAAUACCGCAUAACGUCGCAAGACCAAAGAGGGGGACCUUCGGGCCUCUUGCCAUCGGAUGUGCCCAGAUGGGAUUAGCUAGUAGGUGGGGUAACGGCUCACCUAGGCGACGAUCCCUAGCAGGUCUGAGAGGAUGACCAGCCACACUGGAACUGAGACACGGUCCAGACUCCUACGGGAGGCAGCAGUGGGGAAUAUUGCACAAUGGGCGCAAGCCUGAUGCAGCCAUGCCGCGUGUAUGAAGAAGGCCUUCGGGUCGUAAAGUACUUUCAGCGGGGAGGAAGGGAGUAAAGUUAAUACCUUUGCUCAUUGACGUUACCCGCAGAAGAAGCACCGGCUAACUCCGUGCCAGCCGCCGCCGUAA